UACGGAGGGAGCUAGCGUUAUUCGGAAUUACUGGGCGUAAAGCGCACGUAGGCGGCUUUGUAAGUUAGAGGUGAAAAGCCUGGAGCUCAACUCCAGAACUGCCUUUAAGACUGCAUCGCUUGAAUCCAGGAGAGGUGAGUGGAAUUCCGAGUGUAGAGGUGAAAUGCGUAGAUAUCGGGAGGAACACCAGAGGCGAAGGCGGGUUACUGGGCU
rnacentral:rRNA from 1 species